rnacentral:rRNA from 1 species
CAGCCGCCACGGUAAUACGAAGGGUGCAAGCGUUACUCGGAAUUACUGGGCGUAAAGCGUGUGUAGGUGGUUGUUUAAGUCUGUCGUGAAAGCCCUGGGCUCAACCUGGGAAUUGCAGUGGAUACUGGGUCACUAGAGUGUGGUAGAGGAUGGUGGAAUUCCCGGUGUAGCGGUGAAAUGCGUAGAGAUCGGGAGGAACAUCAGUGGCGAAGGCGGCCAUCUGGGACAACACUGACGCUGAGGCACGAAAGCGUGGGGAGCAAACAGGAUUAGAUACCCCAGUAGUCCCUGUCUCUUAUAA